rnacentral:rRNA from 1 species
CAGGCAAUGCCUUAGUAGCGGCGAGUGAAGCGGCAAUAGCUCAAAUUUGAAAUCUGGCACCUUCGGUGUCCGAGUUGUAAUUUGAAGAAGGUAUCUUUGGUUUUGGCUCUUGUCUAUGUUCCUUGGAACAGGACGUCACAGAGGGUGAGAAUCCCGUGCGAUGAGAUGCCCAAUUCCAUGUAAAGUUCCUUCGACGAGUCGAGUUGUUUGGGAAUGCAGCUCUAAGUGGGUGGUAAAUUCCAUCUAAAGCUAAAUAUUGGCGAGAGACCGAUAGCGAACAAGUACUGUGAAGGAAAGAUGAAAAGAACUUUGAAAAGAGAGUGAAAAAGUACGUGAAAUUGUUGAAAGGGAAGGGCUUGAGAUUAGACUUGGAAUUUUCCAUUUAUGGAGCUUUCCGGGCCAGCAUCAGUUUGGAUGGCAGGAUAAUUGCGUUGGAAAGUAGCACCACUUCGGUGGUGUGUUAUAGACUUCGUCGAUACUGCCUAUCUAGACUGAGGACCGCGUCUUUGACUAGGAUGCUG